rnacentral:rRNA from 1 species
ACGGAAGGCAGCAGUGAGGAAUAUUGGUCAAUGGACGGAAGUCUGAACCAGCCAGGUCGCGUGAAGGAAGACGGUUCUAUGGAUUGUAAACUUCUUUUGCUCGAGGGUAAAGUGAGCCACGUGUGGCUUAUUGCAAGUAUCGAGUGAAUAAGCAUCGGCUAACUCCGUGCCAGCAGCCGCGGUAAUACGGAGGAUGCGAGCGUUAUCCGGAUUUAUUGGGUUUAAAGGGUGCGUAGGCGGGAUGUUAAGUCAGCGGUGAAAGUUGGCGGCUCAACCGUAAAAUUGCCGUUGAAACUGGCGUUCUUGAGUGUAAACGAGGUAGGCGGAAUGUAACGUGUAGCGGUGAAAUGCUUAGAUAUGUUACAGAACCCCGAUUGCGAAGGCAGCUUACCAGCAUACAACUGACGCUGAGGCACGAAAGCGUGGGUAUCAAACAGGAUUAGAUACCCUGGUA